AAAUUGAAGAGUUUGAUCAUGGCUCAGAUUGAACGCUGGCGGCAGGCCUAACACAUGCAAGUCGAACGGUAGCACAGAGAGCUUGCUCUCGGGUGACGAGUGGCGGACGGGUGAGUAAUGUCUGGGAAACUGCCUGAUGGAGGGGGAUAACUACUGGAAACGGUGGCUAAUACCGCAUAACGUCGCAAGACCAAAGAGGGGGACCUUCGGGCCUCUUGCCAUCAGAUGUGCCCAGAUGGGAUUAGCUUGUUGGUGAGGUAACGGCUCACCAAGGCGACGAUCCCUAGCUGGUCUGAGAGGAUGACCAGCCACACUGGAACUGAGACACGGUCCAGACUCCUACGGGAGGCAGCAGUGGGGAAUAUUGCACAAUGGGCGCAAGCCUGAUGCAGCCAUGCCGCGUGUAUGAAGAAGGCCUUCGGGUUGUAAAGUACUUUCAGCGGGGAGGAAGGUGUUGUGGUUAAUAACCGCAGCAAUUGACGUUACCCGCAGAAGAAGCACCGGCUAACUCCGUGCCAGCAGCCGCGGUAAUACGGAGGGUGCAAGCGUUAAUCGGAAUUACUGGGCGUAAAGCGCACGCAGGCGGUCUGUCAAGUCGGAUGUGAAAUCCCCGGGCUCAACCUGGGAACU
rnacentral:rRNA from 1 species